UACGUAGGGUGCAAGCGUUACUCGGAAUUACUGGGCGUAAAGCGUGCGCAGGCGGGGAUGUAAGUCAGGGGUGAAAUCCCCGGGCUUAACCUGGGAACUGCAUUUGUGACUGCAUCGCUGGAGUGCGGCAGAGGGGGAUGGAAUUCCGCGUGUAGCAGUGAAAUGCGUAGAUAUGCGGAGGAACACCGAUGGCGAAGGCAAUCCCCUGGGCCUGCACUGACGCUCAUGCACAAAAGCGUGGGGAGCAAACAGG
rnacentral:rRNA from 1 species